rnacentral:rRNA from 2 species
CUCGAGUGGCGAACGGGUGAGUAACACGUGGGUGAUCUGCCCUGAACUUCGGGAUAAGCCUGGGAAACUGGGUCUAAUACCGGAUAUGACCAGUUGGUGCAUGCCUUCUGGUGGAAAGCCUUGUGCGGUUUGGGAUGGGCCCGCGGCCUAUCAGCUUGUUGGUGGGGUAAUGGCCUACCAAGGCGACGACGGGUAGCCGACCUGAGAGGGUGAUCGGCCACACUGGGACUGAGACACGGCCCAGACUCCUACGGGAGGCAGCAGUGGGGAAUAUUGCACAAUGGGCGCAAGCCUGAUGCAGCGACGCCGCGUGAGGGAUGACGGCCUUCGGGUUGUAAACCUCUUUCACCAGGGACGAAGCGUGAGUGACGGUACCUGGAGAAGAAGCACCGGCCAACUACGUGCCAGCAGCCGCGGUAAUACGUAGGGUGCGAGCGUUGUCCGGAAUUACUGGGCGUAAAGAGCUCGUAGGCGGUUUGUCGCGUCGUCUGUGAAAUUCUGCAACUCAAUUGUAGGCGUGCAGGCGAUACGGGCAGACUUGAGUACUACAGGGGAGACUGGAAUUCCUGGUGUAGCGGUGAAAUGCGCAGAUAUCAGGAGGAACACCGGUGGCGAAGGCGGGUCUCUGGGUAGUAACUGACGCUGAGGAGCGAAAGCGUGGGUAGCGAACAGGAUUAGAUACCCUGGUAGUCCACGCCGU